UUUCCACGAAUCCCUUUAAACAAACCGUAUAAACGUUUGCCUAAGAGAACACCUUCUCAAAAAGUGGAGCCAUCUUCAAUAUGUUACCACAUUGCGCUUUUCACACUGCUGUCAUAUUGGUGGGAAUUCUGUUUCCUCUAUUUCUGCUGGAAUAUGGAGGGUUUUCACCUGCUCUGGGAUUUCCUGUUGCUGGACCAAGUCCGGGAAGACAUCCGUAUGAAUCUGUUAGACCAGUGUUUACAACUCGGAGCACAACUCGUUCAACAACUCGAAGCACUACAAGGCGGUCCACACCUCCAAGUUGCUGGAGACAUUUUGGAAGAUAAAACAUCGGCAAGGUAUGAGGGGAAAUUACUGAUUCAUUGAGCCGGAUCACAUGGUAUGGGUGUCGACCGAGAUACAAAUCGCCUAUUUGCAAAUGAAUAAAAUAGUCAAUAAAGUAUUUUCUUGUUUGA